rnacentral:rRNA from 1 species
CACGUAGGCACCAAGCGUUGUCCGGAUUUAUUGGGCGUAAAGAGCGUGUAGGCGGCCAGGUAGGUCCGUUGUGAAAACUCGAGGCUCAACCUCGAGACGCCGAUGGAAACCAUCUGGCUAGAGUCCGGAAGAGGAGAGUGGAAUUCCCGGUGUAGCGGUGAAAUGCGCAGAUAUCGGGAAGAACACCCGUGGCUAAGGCGGCUCUCUAGUACGGUACUGACGCUGAGACGCGAAAGCGUGGGGAGCGAACAGG